UACUAGAGUAGCACUCGCAUAUCAAUAAGCGGAGGAAAAGAAACUAACAAGGAUUCCCCUAGUAACGGCGAGUGAAGCGGGAAGAGCUCAAAUUUGAAAUCUUAAAGGGUUUCCCUUUACGAAUUGUAGUUUAAAGAAGUGUUUUCUGUUGAGGUUUUGGUAAAAGUUCUUUGGAAUAGGACAUCAUAGAGGGUGAGAAUCCCGUAUUUGACCUUUACUUUCAACUUUGUGAUACACUUUCAAAGAGUCGGAUUGUUUGGGAAUGCAGUCCAAAAUGGGUGGUAAAUUUCAUCUAAAGCUAAAUAUUGGCGAGAGACCGAUAGCGAACAAGUACCGUGAGGGAAAGAUGAAAAGAACUUUGAAAAGAGAGUUAAACAGUACGUGAAAUUGUCAAAAGGGAAGCGUUUGACACCAGUGUUGUUUUUCUGAAAAUCAAUUAAAGAACUGUUUAUGCUAAGUUGUUUAGACUUUAUCAGCUAUCUGUUUAGUUUUGAGCUUUUCUUUAAUGCACUUUUCAGUUAACAAGUCAACAUCAAUUUCUUUUGCUGUAAAAAAGCUUGAGGAAGGUGGCUUGAGAUUCGUCUUAAGUGUUUAUAGCCUCUUGCCUAUGCAGUCGGAGAGAUUGAGGUCUGCAGCGUAGAUCCUUCGGGGCUAAAUGCAUUUGUGCUAAGUUAUAGCAUUUUAUAGACAACUUGUUGACUAUGAUUUGUCUUGUAGCUUACUCGCUUAUGUUAUUUUACCUACGCUUAGGAUGUUGAACUACUGAGACAUAGA
rnacentral:rRNA from 1 species